rnacentral:lncRNA from 1 species
GGAAAGAGAAAAGAGAUAAAGAGACACGGAGGACAGGAGAGAAGAAGGAAACAGGAGCAGAAAGAGAGGAGAGCAGAGAGAGCAGAAAGAACAGUAAGAGAGCAGGGUCGUAGUGAGCCACAGGGAGUCGCCCAGUUCCUGUUUUCCUAGUUGGAAGAGUUCCUCCCUCCGUCCUAACGCCGGUCAGCCCCAAGGGAGUGAUUCUGUACCUCCAAAGACAGUCUCGCCCUACUCUGCCCCACCCGGCUCGCACCACAUCCCACCGCAGUCGCUGAGGAGGAGUGAGUCCUGGAGUCAGCACAAGUGGGCCAAAGUUCAGGAGUUUCCGAGACCUCAAAACAGGGAGGCUGCAAGUCAGACAGACCUGGGAGGGAAGUACCUGGUUGGCCAAGGUUCUAGGGGUCUCUAAAGCUUCUUGUUCAGCACCCAGUGAUGGCCCGCCGAAGACUGGCCCUGGGCCUAGCAUUCUGCCUGCUUGCUAGCACAAGUCUCUGGUUCCUGUGGUGAGUUGCCUUUUUGAGUUUCCUCACUGCCCUUCACAGCACUCCUCCCUGUCUCUGAAUGUCAUCCCUAAGCCUCGAUACUCAUACAGUUUCCUAGGUCCCAUCAACCUCUCAAGUCUCAGGAUCCUCCAGCCCCAGCUAGACUUUUAUGUUUUGCCUUGAGUUAGCUUCCUAGCCUUUAACUUACCAUGUUUUCUGCCUAGACUGUCCUUCAAACCAUGUUGAUAAGGAACACUGUGCGUGGUCCUGAAGUCACCCCGUUGGCCUUGUGGGGAGCUACUGGCACUGCAUGCCUCCUUAUUGUUUAUGUGUGGGACCUGGCAUCAAGGACAUAGCCAUGCCAUAAGUGAAUAGCCAUAUGAACAAAAAGACAAGUACAC